rnacentral:rRNA from 1 species
GAUGAACGCUGGCGGCGUGCCUAAUACAUGCAAGUCGAGCGAACGGACGAGAAGCUUGCUUUUCUGAUGUUAGCGGCGGACGGGUGAGUAACACGUGGAUAACCUACCUAUAAGACUGGGAUAACUUCGGGAAACCGGAGCUAAUACCGGAUAAUAUUUUGAACCGCAUGGUUCAAAAGUGAAAGACGGUCUUGCUGUCACUUAUAGAUGGAUCCGCGCUGCAUUAGCUAGUUGGUAAGGUAACGGCUUACCAAGGCAACGAUGCAUAGCCGACCUGAGAGGGUGAUCGGACAAACGGGAACUGAGACACGGUCCAGACUCCUACGGGAGGCAGCAGUAGGGAAUCUUCCGCAAUGGGCGAAAGCCUGACGGAGCAACGCCGCGUGAGUGAUGAAGGUCUUCGGAUCGUAAAACUCUGUUAUUAGGGAAGAACAUAUGUGUAAGUAACUGUGCACAUCUUGACGGUACCUAAUCAGAAAGCCACGGCUAACUACGUG